rnacentral:rRNA from 1 species
ACGUAGGAGGCGAGCGUUAUCCGGAUUUACUGGGCGUAAAGCGUACGCAGGUGGCUUCGUGAGUCGGACAUGAAAGCUCCCGGCUUAACUGGGAGAGGUUGUUCGAUACUGCGGGGCUUGAGGUUGGGAGAGGGACGUGGAAUUCCCGGUGUAGUGGUGGAAUGCGUAGAUAUCGGGAGGAACACCAGUGGCGCAAGCGGCGUCCUGGCCCACACCUGACGCUGAGGUACGAAAGCGUGGGUAGCAAACAGGAUUAGAUACCCUGGUAGUCCCUGAG